rnacentral:rRNA from 1 species
GACGAACGCUGGCGGCAUGCCUAACACAUGCAAGUCGAGCGAGUUGAUCCCUUCGGGGUGAAUCUAGCGGCGGACGGGUGAGUAACACGUGGGCAACCUGCCUCAUAGAGGGGAAUAACCUUCCGAAAGGAAGAUUAAUACCGCAUAAGAUUGUAGCUUCGCAUGAAGUAGCAAUUAAAGGAGCAAUCCGCUAUGAGAUGGGCCCGCGGCGCAUUAGCUAGUUGGUGAGGUAACGGCUCACCAAGGCGACGAUGCGUAGCCGACCUGAGAGGGUGAUCGGCCACAUUGGGACUGAGACACGGCCCAGACUCCUACGGGAGGCAGCAGUGGGGAAUAUUGCACAAUGGGGGAAACCCUGAUGCAGCAAUGCCGCGUGAGUGAUGACGGCCUUCGGGUUGUAAAGCUCUGUCUUCGGGGACGAUAAUGACGGUACCCGAGGAGGAAGCCACGGCUAACUACGUGCCAGCCGCCGCGGUAA